rnacentral:rRNA from 1 species
ACGACGCUGGCGGCAUGCUUACACAUGCAAGUCGAACGCUAUUUUAUAGAGUGGCGCACGGGUGAGUAACGCGUGGGAAUCUGCCCUUCUGCCUGGGAUAACAGCUGGACACGGUUGCUAAUACCGGAUACGCCCUUCGGGGGAAAGGUCCGCCGCAGAAGGAGGAGCCCGCGUCUGAUUAGCUUGUUGGUACGGUAAUGGCCUACCAAGGCGACGAUCAGUAGCUGGUCUGAGAGGAUGAUCAGCCACACUGGGACUGAGACACGGCCCAGACUCCUACGGGAGGCAGCAGUGGGGAAUAUUGGACAAUGGGGGCAACCCUGAUCCAGCAAUGCCGCGUGUGUGAUGAAGGCCUUAGGGUUGUAAAGCACUUUCACUGGUGAAGAUGAUGACGGUAACCAGAGAAGAAGCCCCGGCUAACUUCGUGCCAGCAGCCGCGGUAAUACGAAGGGGGCGAGCGUUGUUCGGAAUUACUGGGCGUAAAGGGAGCGCAGGCGGUUCAUUAAGUUAGGCGUGAAAGCCCCGGGCUCAACCUGUGAACUGCGCUUAAUACUGAUGAACUAGAAAACAGGAGAGGGUAGUGGAAUUUCCAGUGUAGAGGUGAAAUUCGUAGAUCUUGGAAAGAACACCGGUGUGCAAAGCGGCUACCUGGCCUGAUUUUGACGCUGAGGCUCGAAAGCGUGGGGAGCAACACGAUUAGAUCCCCUGGUAUCCCGCCUAACCAUUACGUUGAUUCCGGGGGUC